UGUUCAUUACAGAUGAUCGCCCCGAUGUACAUCGGGGAGGAAAGUCCGAACUCUACCAAGUAUAUACUUGGUUUGGGUAGUGGGUAACACCCACCAGUCCAAUGGCAACAUUGGAACAGGGAAAGUGUCGCAGAGACUAUACUACCCCGAUUUAAUCGGGGGAAAGGUGAAAAGUGUAUGGAGGUUUUUGUUCUUAAGACAAAAGCUACUAUACGGAUUGUGGUGGUGACACCACAAUGUGAUAAACCCUGCCUAGAGAAAACACAGCGUUCUUGGAUGCUAUAUCUUAGUUCGAAAAGGUAGUGUGUUUGAUUCCAACAGUAAUGUUGGAACUAGAGAAAUGAUCAUCUCCCGACGUAGUCAGGAACAAAAUUCGGCUUAUCGUAAUAAACAAGAC
rnacentral:RNase_P_RNA from 1 species